ACUCCUGCGGGAGGCAGCAGUGGGGAAUAUUGGACAAUGGGCGCAAGCCUGAUCCAGCCAUGCCGCGUGAGUGAUGAAGGCCCUAGGGUUGUAAAGCUCUUUCACCGGUGAAGAUAAUGACGGUAACCGGAGAAGAAGCCCCGGCUAACUUCGUGCCAGCAGCCGCGGUAAUACGCAGGGGGCUAGCGUUGUUCGGAUUUACUGGGCGUAAAGCGCACGUAGGCGGACUAUUAAGUCAGGGGUGAAAUCCCGGGGCUCAACCCCGGAACUGCCUUUGAUACUGGUAGUCUUGAGUUCGAGAGAGGUGAGUGGAAUUCCGAGUGGAGAGGUGAAAUUCGUAGAUAUUCGGAGGAACACCAGUGGCGAAGGCGGCUCACUGGCUCGAUACUGACGCUGAGGUGCGAAAGCGUGGGGAGCAAACAGGAUUAGAUACCCCUGUAGUCCC
rnacentral:rRNA from 1 species